AGGAUGAACGCUGGCGGCGUGCCUAACACAUGCAAGUCGAACGUCCUGUCUCGCAAGAGGCAGGGAGUGGCGGACGGGUGAGUACCACGUGGGUCAUCUACCGUGAGGUGAGGAAUACCGGCGAGAAAUCGCCGACAAGACCGCAUAGGCUCGAUGCAAGUCGAGCAAAGCUCUUUCGAGAGAGGGAGCGCCACACGAGGAGCCUGCGCCCGAUUAGCUAGCUGGUGGAGUAACGGUUCACCAGGGCGACGAUCGGUAGCUGGUCUGAGAGGACGAUCAGCCACACUGGGAUUGAGAACGGCCCAGACUCCUACGGGGGCAGCAGUGAGGAAUUUCGUCAAUGGGGGCAACCCUGAACGAGCAACGCGCGUGCAGGAGAAGGUUUCGAUCGUAAACUGCUUUUCUCGGGAAGAGAACGGACGGUACCCGAGGAAUCAGCCCCGGCUAACUACGUGCCAGCAGCCGC
rnacentral:rRNA from 1 species